rnacentral:rRNA from 1 species
GUUCUGCCUGACGUAGAUGUUAGUCUUUAAGAUUAAGCCAUGCAUGUUAGUGAAAGAGAUGAAACGACGAACGGCUCAGUAAUACUGCGAUUAUUUGGUCUAUAUGUUUAAUAACUACGGGAAACUGUAGCUAAUUAUUAUAUAGAAUAAGUUGCAGACCCAUCAGUUAGUUGGUAGUGUAAAGGACUACCAAGACUAUAACGGGUAACGGAGAAUUAGGGUUUGAUUCCGGAGAGGGAGCCUGAGAGAUGGCUCCCACGUCCAUGGACGGCAGCAGGCGCGGAAAUUGGUCACUUAAAGGUAAAUUAGAACCAGUUAUGAGACGUGAAGAAAAGCAAUGUUAAAAAUAUUGAAAGUAAUUGGAGGGCAAGUUCGGUGCCAGC